UGAGUAACGCGUGGGUAACCUACCCCAAAGUCCGGGAUAACAGCGGGAAACCGCUGCUAAUACCGGAUGCCUUUACCUUGGGGCAUCUUGAGGUAAAGAAAGGCAACGCUUAGGGAUGGGCCCGCGUCCCAUUAGCUAGUUGGUGAGGUAACGGCUCACCAAGGCGACGAUGGGUAGCCGGCCUGAGAGGGUGGACGGCCACACUGGGACUGAGACACGGCCCAGACUCCUACGGGAGGCAGCAGUAGGGAAUAUUGCGCAAUGGACGGAAGUCUGACGCAGCGACGCCGCGUGAGCGAUGAAGGUCUUCGGAUCGUAAAGCUCUGUCCUUGGGGAAGAAGGCGAAAGCUUGACGGUACCCAAGAAGAAAGCCCCGGCUAACUACAUGCCAGCAGCCGCGGUAAUACGUAGGGGGCGAGCGUUGUCCGGAAUUACUGGGCGUAAAGGGUGCGUAGGCGGCCCUUUAAGUCGGAUGUGAA
rnacentral:rRNA from 1 species